CUAAUUUGUGCUGCACACACACUAAAACACAUUAGAAACACACACACACUUCACGUUAACACCAUUUCUUUGGUGUUCAAGCUUUUGACUUCCGAUUUGAGCACCGAGACGAGCGCCGAUCAUCUUUUCGAUCACGUAUCUAAGUAGGUCCUUUUGGGAAGUAACGACUUGAGGGAGAGAGUGACGUUACUCAUUGAUACAGAGACACAACGAGGUUGAGCUGAUGUGAUGAUGGUGCUGCAAUGAGCGGAGUCUCCAGGGUUGUUAAUAAAUAGUUAACCUAUCUAGAAUAUGUCUUCAUACAUAUGUCUAGCUAUUUUCCGCUGCAAGAUGUUGUUGAUGUUAUAGUAUGUUAUGUCAUACUUUGAGUCUUAAGAGAAUGGUUGCAUAUGAUGUAUAACUUGAUUAAUGAUAUUAAUUAACUUUUAUGCAGUCUUUCAUAGAUUGUUUUCAAUUGAGUAUUAAUGAAUAAAAAUGACGAG